AGAGUUUGAUCCUGGCUUAGGAUGAACGCUAGCGACAGGCUUAACACAUGCAAGUCGAGGGCAGCAUAGAAGUAGCAAUACUUGGUGGCGACCGGCGCACGGGUGAGUAACGCGUAUGCAACCUACCUAUCAGAGGGGAAUAACCCGGCGAAAGUCGGACUAAUACCGCAUAAAACAGGGGCACCGCAUGGUGAUAUUUGUUAAAGAAAUUCGCUGAUAGAUGGGCAUGCGUUCCAUUAGGUAGUUGGUGAGGUAACGGCUCACCAAGCCGACGAUGGAUAGGGGAACUGAGAGGUUGGUCCCCCACACUGGUACUGAGACACGGACCAGACUCCUACGGGAGGCAGCAGUGAGGAAUAUUGGUCAAUGGGCGGGAGCCUGAACCAGCCAAGUCGCGUGAAAGGAAGAAGGAUCUAUGGUUCGUAAACUUCUUUUGCAGGGGAAUAAAGUGCAGGACGUGUCCUGUUUUGUAUGUACCCUGAGAAUAAGGAUCGGCUAACUCCGUGCCAGCCGCAGC
rnacentral:rRNA from 1 species